GGAAUGCAGCAAUUGCCUUUUCAUGUAGAAUAUAUUUAUCUCCUUGGCACAGAAGAUGGAUGCUAACCGAAUAACUACAUCUUGGCAGAAUCUCAUUUAGUAAACAUACACUCCACGUGCAAAAAGUUGUACAUAGCCAAAUGAAGAAUCUGAAGAUGGCAAAGCAGCAAACGCAAGGCCAAUGACUUGAAGGGUUUCCAACAGAGAGCCAGAAAAUUACAGGUCAUUCAUCUUAACAUCUGUUCUAGGCAGCCCAGUGGAAAGCAUCCUUAACUAUGAAAUUAUCAGGUGUAUAGAAAGAGGAGGCUCGCUGAAACAGAAUCGACAUGAGUUCUGGGCAGAUGUCCAUCAUCCUUUCGGGUCUUAUCCACAUCUUCCGACCACUCCUAUCCUCCCUUUCCGGUGCACUCGACUGCGAGGGCUUAGGACCAUGGUACUUCCUGCUGGGCCUUCGCAUUGUGGCCAUUUUCUUCUCAAACGGGCCAUGGGACUCAGUGAAGGAGGACGUGGCCUGCAAUUGGGUGGCCCCCAUCGAAGACAAGUCACGGGACUUCUGCACAACCCUAUGUCACAACCUCCACUUCCCAUUCUCUGUGGCCGGGGUGUGGGGACUUGUGUUCAUUGCCCUGCUACUCCUGGUGGGACUCAUGAGACUGAGCAGCCCAAAGAAGAAAAAAGAAGAUGGAGAAAAUGGGAAUGGAAACGGGAACGGGAACGGGAACGGGAAAGAGGAUAAAGAAAAAGGCUUAGCUAUUGUGGAAAAGGCACCGCAUGGGAGCACUGCUGACAUGUCCACCGUCUACUGGGUUGGGCGUCGUGGUCUCCCUAGACGCUACGGGGCCUACCGUUCUCACCCCCACCAUCCCCACUACUACUACGGCCACCAUGAUUGGCAUGAUUGGGCUGAUUGGCACGGGGCACCCAUGGUUGGUGAACAUUAUCCUGAUACGGGCUUUGUUCCACCGGACGUUGGAGGCUAUGGCAUGCCUAUCCAUCAGGAGCACAUUAGCCAGACCAAAAUGCCCGACCACUACUAUGACAUGGCUCAAACCAAAACGGGUGCCUACCCAAAGGACAUAAAGCAAAGCAACAAGCCCACACAUGGCCCUGGAACAGAACAAUAUGCAAUGUCUAGCUCCCCAGGUCAGGUGAGACAAACCCGUAGUGCACCCUAUUAUGCAGAAAAGGGACAGUAUAGUGCACCCACCAAGAGUAUCCCUAUUCCCAUUCAUGGCUCACCCCAUAGAGGCAAGAUAACCCCCCGUGGUUCUCCUGGCAAUGAACAUGAUGAGACCUUCCAGCAGAGGUAUAUUAACCCCAAUGACUGUACAAAAUACACUGGCCAAAGUAAGAUGAUGCCUAGAUACUGUGAAGAUGGCCAAUAUGGCAUGGCAUCCAAAUGCAGGCCAGACAUUGAAGGGAGCAUGGGCCAGAUUGCUGUAGUAGAUGACAGUCCAAACAUGGCCAUCAAGCGUCGGCCAGUUCAGGGGACUAAAACACACACAAAACACCAUGUGAAUUUUGAUGCUGCUGGCAACACGUAUGCCCAACCUUGCAUGACCAAGGAUCCCAGCUGCAAGCCCGCUGGUGGGAAGAAAACCAUGGCCGGACCAAGCACUGGGGCAAGCCAUGGCAAUGCAGCCUGUAUGUGCACUAACACAGAUCCAUGUCACAUGGGCCACAAAUGGGAAGCCCAUUGGGAACCCCCUUGUGAGCCCUGCUGCAGGGCUGAGCCCACCCACCGCGAGGGGCAUGGAAGUCGGGGAACUGCUCCUGGGACACAGGAGGAAGCCAAGAUGUCUAUCAGGAAAAUCUGUGGCGUGCCGCUCUUUGACAUCUGGGUGGCCCUUCUUCUUGCGAUGGAGAUCGGCUUCCUCUGUGUUGUGAUUCUUUUUCAGGUGCCCACUCUUUUGGGGAGGUCAUGGAUCUGUACGCCAGGAGCUUCUGGGUGUCCCCAAAGUGUCGAAUGCACUAUCAAAGGGAGGGCCGAAAAGCGAGUGGCUCUCUGGGGACUAGUGUUCACCUCCAUUCUUUUUAUAAUCGCCUGUAGCGGCUACUUUAACCUACGCUUCUGCUGGAAUCAGCGGUGCCAACAAAUGUGCAACGGGGAGGAAAGUGGGGAUGAAGCAAUCACUGAGACAGGAAAGCGGGAUGAGGAGGAAGGUGGCAAUGAGAACAAGGAAGGAGACUGAAGAAGGAGAAGAGAUG
ensembl:lncRNA